AUUUUGAAACACCUGUUCCCUUACGAUUACCGAAAUUAAUCAACAUCGUGCCUAAUCAGUACCUCAAUUGGUGACCGCUUGGGAAUAGCUGGUUCUGUA